AGAAGGGCUCGCUCUCCCUCUCGGGCGGCUGUACCGUUGUGGGCUACGUUCAGAGAAGUCUCACAAUUGCCAUGAGCAGGGACAUAAUAGAGUUUAAAGGCCGCCGUAUUUCCUAAGUUUUAAAACAGUUUGCUUCGACGCUGUUGUUUAUGACAACCGCAUGGCAACACCAGGCACAAUCUAAUGUAGGUUCCAAUUCUUCCCCUCUUUCUCUACCCCCGUUUUCCCCGUUUUCCCCCUUUUCCCAGUGUGGGACACACCCAGGUGUGGUCUUCAAUGGGGACUGGUUUUAUGGGGAUGGACCAUUCAGUACGGAUUGAUUUAUUUAAGAACCGCUUGUUUAAAUAAGUGGUUGUUCAGAGUCAGAGAGGAAUGUUUCAGAAGACAGUUGCAUACAGCAAGGUGGAUUCGUGUUACACUGAUCUUAUUCACAUUCAGAGGGCGUGAUACACAUUUCAUUCUUUUCGAAGUUCACGGUUGCUGAAAAAAAUUUGGGAACUCUGCCACGUUUUCCGAAUUAUUAUUUCCCUUUUGGCUGCCUGACCUUGGAAUUCAAUAAACCUACUAUUAAUGAAAGUUCUGUGACUGUGAAGAUAAAUCAGAAUAGUUCCUGCCCUCAAAAAAUUCACACAUCAGCUUUGAAAGAGACACAGAUACAAGAAACUAGACUGAUAAUGGUAACUGAAGGAGAAGACCACUUUGUACCAGUUUAUGAUGAUCUACUUGGUGCCUGAUAACCUCUACACCAUGUCCCUUAUCCACAUGAUAUUCUUUGCUACUUCUUCAAAGCCAGGCAUGGAGUUCUGGAACUCUGCGGGUGUGAGCUUGGAAUCCAAUGUGCCUGAGGACGGGCCUCGCCACCUGUGUGCUUUGUUUACUAUCUGGGCUUCUGCCCCAGUUCCUGUUCACCCUUUCCAUUCUCCCUCCUGGAACUGGAGUUCUGCCCUGAACCCCAGUUUACUUGGCUGGAGUCCACAUAUAGUUUUUCACCCUUGCCAGCUCUCUCUCUGGGACUGUGGGUAAGAGCCUUUCUCCCAGCUGCUGGGCGGGCUUCUGAUCUAAACAGGAUGGAUCAUUGAAACCUGCCACAGAUGCUGCUACUUUUUUGUCUUGCUUGCUACAAAGGAUGGACAAGAAACUCAAAUGAAAUCAAGUUUGUGAAGUAGUUUGUAAAGUGUAACAUGUCCAUUAUGGUGGUUUAACUUACAGAGAAAGUUCGAGCCCUUACUGGUAUUGCACAUGAAAGCCCCACUGUAAAGUGCCCCAGAUUCCUCGUUUCUGCUCAUGCCUAGUGAUAUAUGAUGCUGAAAAUGAUGUGGAAAAUGUCCAAAUGUUCUUGAAUUUUGAUUAGUACAUUCUGCCGCACUGGUUAUUGCAUUAUGGAUGGAGACGGGAGAAUUGCUUGAACCCGGGAGACAGUGGUUGCAGUGAGCCGACAUCACACCACUGCACUUCAGCCUGGGUGGCUGAGCGAGACUCUGUCUCAAAAAAAAAAAAAUUGUAAUUUUAUGAACCAGGACAUACCUUUUCACAACUGAAACCAAAGUCUCACGAACUGUCUUAUCCUAAGUAUGUGUAAUGCACUCUAUUUUCUAUUUUAUUUCAUUUUUUAAAAAAUUGGUCAACCCAUCAGAUUAAUUUUGUAACUCACUAAUGGAUUGUUACCUGCAUUUUCCCAGACACUGAUAUGCACUAUCUAAUGAGAUUCCCUAUAUUAACCAACUGAUUGGGACAAUUGUUAAAUGUUUACCUCAUUUGGUGCUAGGGCCAUAGGAAUCACCCUGCCCACUAAAGGAGUGAGGCUACCUCACUGAGGUAAGUCACAGUUGUUCCCACUGCUAAGAUCAGAAAGUGCAGUACUGCAGCCAGACUUUCAAAGCUACCUGAGAUUAAUAUAUAUAAUUCCUGGCUGGGCCAUUUUUAAAAAGGGAUAGCUGUAAAAUUACCACAACUACAUUUAUCUUAGAGGGAUAUUGUUUGGAGGCAACUCUUUCUUAGACUGUUUAAAUCAUUCCUGGUUAGGUUAAAGAGACUUUUAGGUUUCUGAGGUUUCAUGUCAAUUUCAGAGAUAAGAAAAUAUAAAAUAAAAGCUCACUCACUGC
rnacentral:lncRNA from 1 species